rnacentral:sRNA from 1 species
GCCAGGCUUGGUGGCACACGCCUAUAAUCCCAGCUACUCAGGAAGCUGAGGCAUGAGGAUCCCAGGUUCAAGGCCAGCCUGAGCAACUUUGAGAGAUCUUGUCUCAA